rnacentral:ncRNA from 1 species
GAGAGCGCAGUAUAACGGAGAGUUUGUAUGCUGCGUUCGGGAAGGAUGAAUCGCUCCCGAAAACGAAUCUACUGAUUCUCUCCAAAUUGGUUGGACUGUAGGUGCGACGAUUUACUUCAC